UACGAAGGGGGCUAGCGUUGCUCGGAAUCACUGGGCGUAAAGGGUGCGUAGGCGGGUCUUUAAGUCAGGGGUGAAAUCCUGGAGCUCAACUCCAGAACUGCCUUUGAUACUGAGGAUCUUGAGUUCGGGAGAGGUGAGUGGAACUGCGAGUGUAGAGGUGAAAUUCGUAGAUAUUAGGAAGAACACCAGUGGCGAAGGCGGCUCACUGGCCCGGUACUGACGCUGAGGCGCGAAAGCGUGGGAG
rnacentral:rRNA from 1 species